UAGGGAAUCUUCGGCAAUGGACGAAAGUCUGACCGAGCAACGCCGCGUGAGUGAAGAAGGUUUUCGGAUCGUAAAACUCUGUUGGUAGAGAAGAACGUUGGUGAGAGUGGAAAGCUCAUCAAGUGACGGUAACUACCCAGAAAGGGACGGCUAACUACGUGCCAGCAGCCGCGGUAAUACGUAGGUCCCGAGCGUUGUCCGGAUUUAUUGGGCGUAAAGCGAGCGCAGGUGGUUUAUUAAGUCUGGUGUAAAAGGCAGUGGCUCAACCAU
rnacentral:rRNA from 1 species